rnacentral:rRNA from 1 species
GGUUGUGCUCGCGGCCUAUCAGUGUGUUGGUGGGGUAAUGGCCUACCAAGGCUUCGACGGGUAGCCGGCCUGAGAGGGUGACCGGCAACACUGGGAUUGAGACACGGCCCAGACUCCUACGGGAGGCAGCAGUGGGGAAUAUUGGACAAUGGGCGGAAGCCUGAUCCAGCAACGCCGCGUGAGGGAUGACGGCCUUCGGGUUGUAAACUUCUUUCAGUAGGGACGAAGCGCAAGUGACGGUACCUACAGAAGAAGCACCGGCCAAUUACGUGCCAGCAGCCGCGGUAAUACGUAGGGUGCGAGCGUUGUCCGGAAUUAUUGGGCGUAAAGGGCUCGUAGGAACUUUGUCGCGUCGGGAGUGAAAACACUGGGCUUAACUCAGUGCUUGCUUCCGAUACGGGCAGACUAGAGGUAUUCAGGGGAGAACGGAAUUCCUGGUGUAGCGGUGAAAUGCGCAGAUAUCAGGAGGAACACCGGUGGCGAAGGCGGUUCUCUGGGAAUUACCUGACGCUGAGGAGCGAAAGUGUGGGGAGCGAACAGGAUUAGAUACCCUGGUAGUCCACACCGUAAACGUUGGGCAACAGGUGUGGGGUCCAUUCCACGGAUUCCGUGCCGCAGCUAACGCAUUAAGCGCCCCGCCUGGGGAGUACGGCCGCAAGGCUAAAACUCAAAGGAAUUGACGGGGGCCCGCACAAGCGGCGGAGCAUGCGGAUUAAUUCGAUGCAACGCGAAGAACCUUACCUGGGUUUGACAUACGCCGGAAAGCCGUAGAGAUACGGCCCCUUUUAGUCGGUGUACAGGUGGUGCAUGGCUCUCGUUA